rnacentral:tRNA from 1 species
GCGGGCGUGGCGGAACUGGUAGACGCAGGGGAUUCAAAAUCCCCCGGCCGCAAGGUCAUGUCGGUUCGAGUCCGACCGCCCGUACCA